rnacentral:lncRNA from 1 species
UCUUAAAGUAAAUCUAAUACAUCACGGCCGACACAAAUCAAAACUCACCCUCUGCUUCCUUAGGUCCUGCCACUCUUCACUACGAGACCAAUGUGCAGAGUCAGCGACAGAGAAUCAAGUGUCCUCCUCAAGGACUCUGCAGCACUGUGGAUGUUUGCCAGGAGCUGGACUUGACGCUGGCUUCUGCAGUGAAAGGACAGCUGCCUCUGUCCCAGUCUGCGAGCCUCUGAACCGCAGCAACUCUGGCGGCGGCCGUGUCACGGCCAACUUGGGAGGGGAGGAGGAGAACCCCUGACCCAAGUGCAAAAGACAAUAGAAAACAUGACAUGGGAACGUCUCAGCUGUCUGGUUCUCCAACACUGAACACCACGAGGCGGAGCGGCCCGGGGAUCCCCGGGUCCAACCUGGGAGCCUUGGUCCAAGGAGCUGCCUCUCUUCCUGUUUUUCCUUCUUCCCUCUGGACAACCACAACCUCACACACCUCUGGAAAGUGGAAAAUGAUGGUCCUUUGUCAUGUGCCUGGACAAUGACUGACAGAGUGUCUGAGUAUCCACCGCUGUCAGAGGAAGGAAGGAAUUUCCAUGAGGGAAUCCAAGAGAAAACAACCAGCAUGUUUGACCUUUGCAGAGACUCCUGUAGCAACAGGGUCCUCUUACAACUCAUAUCAGCUUCCAUUCAAGUCCAAGCAGAGGCAAUAGAAAAUCUAAGACGAGAUCUGGCAUCGCAGGGGGACAUUAUGAACACAAGAACAAAGAAAAGCCCCCGUCAACAGCUGGGGAAGUCUGAGCAGGUCUGUGAUAAUUGAUUUGGGAAACCCUAGAAAUCCUGGCAGCUAGGAUUUAUGGGUGAGUAAGGAUUCGAUAUCAGGUUAUUGUGGUGAGACAGCGGAGAUGUUUUGGUCGUGGGCAAGGCUGAAGUCUCUGGGUGAUGGAGAGGGACUGACUGAACGAUUACUGGAAGAUUAACAAGGCCUUUAAGACAAAACACAACGAGCAUUAGAAAAAGGUUAAACGCGAGAUGUUUGUUUUUCCAAGUAGAAAUGCUUCUCUACAUUUCAAACGUCAGACAUUUUUGUGGCGCUCAAGCCAAAAAACUGAGCGUAGACAAGAAGACGCGGGUUCAUUUUUGAUGUGCUGGUCUCAAGGUGCUGGCACUGACCACACUGCAAAUAAAAGGGAAACCAGCUCUGUUAUAAAAUUAACC